rnacentral:rRNA from 1 species
GACGAACGCUGGCGGCGUGCUUAACACAUGCAAGUCGAGCGGUAAGGCCCUUUCGGGGGUACACGAGCGGCGAACGGGUGAGUAACACGUGGGUGACCUGCCCUCAGCUCUGGGAUAAGCCUGGGAAACCGGGUCUAAUACCGGAUAUGACUCCAUGACGCAUGUUGUGGGGUGGAAAGCCUUGUGCGGCUGAGGAUGGGCCCGCGGCCUAUCAGCUUGUUGGUGGGGUGAUGGCCUACCAAGGCGACGACGGGUAGCCGGCCUGAGAGGCGACCGGCCACACUGGGACUGAGACACGGCCCAGACUCCUACGGGAGGCAGCAGUGGGGAAUCUUGCGCAAUGGGCGAAAGCCUGACGCAGCGACGCCGCGUGAGGGAUGACGGCCUCGG